CGCAUGCGCGCAGUACAUUUCUUUCCCGAGACUUAUUUGGCGCGCUGGAGAGUCAGGUUGGGCCCGCGCAGCGGAAAUGCACCACCGCUGGUUCCGCUGAGCGCGUCGACUACAAGAGCGACGGGAUGGAGGAGGUGCCUCGCGACUGUCCCGGGGCCGAUAGCGCCCAGGCGGGCCUAGGAGCCUCGUGUCAGGGAUGCCCCAACCAACGGCUGUGUGCUUCGGGCGCCGGCGCCGCGCCGGACCCGGCCAUAGAGGAAAUCAAAGAGAAAAUGAAGACGGUGAAACACAAAAUCUUGGUGUUGUCUGGGAAAGGCGGCGUUGGGAAAAGCACUUUCAGUGCCCACCUCGCCUACGGCCUAGCAGAGGAUGAAAACACACAGGUUGCCCUUCUGGACAUUGAUAUAUGUGGGCCUUCUAUCCCCAAGAUCAUGGGAUUGGAAGGAGAACAGGUUCACCAGAGUGGCUCAGGCUGGUCUCCAGUGUAUGUGGAAGAUAACCUGGGGGUGAUGUCUGUGGGUUUCCUGCUCAGCAGCCCUGAUGACGCUGUUAUCUGGAGGGGACCAAAGAAAAACGGCAUGAUCAAGCAGUUCCUCCGUGACGUGGACUGGGGCGAUGUGGACUACCUCCUUGUAGAUACACCACCUGGCACCUCUGAUGAGCACCUCUCAGUUGUCCAGUAUCUAGCUGCAGCACACAUCGAUGGGGCAGUGAUCAUCACCACUCCUCAGGAGAUAUCAUUGCAGGAUGUCCGGAAAGAAAUCAACUUCUGUCAUAAGGUGAAGCUGCCUAUCAUCGGGGUAGUGGAGAACAUGAGUGGCUUUGUGUGCCCCAAGUGUAAGAAAGAAUCUCAGAUCUUCCCCCCAACAAGUGGGGGUGCAGAGGCCAUGUGCCAAGACCUGAAGAUCCCUCUACUUGGCAAAGUACCUCUGGACCCACACAUAGGUAAGAGCUGUGACAAAGGCCAGUCCUUCUUCGUUGAAGCCCCAGAUUCACCGGCCACAUUAGGCUACAGAAGUAUAAUUCAAAAAAUCCAAGAGUUUUGUAGGCUCCAUCAGUCAAAAGAAGAGACCUCAUCAGUUCCUAAAGCAUGUUGAAGACCAGGCAGUUCCCGAGUCAUGGAACCUGCCAGCAGCACGUCCAAGCAUGCUGUCGCUUGGGGACAGCUGUACGGUGGGAGUUGCCUGACUGGCAGAACCAACGGACUGUGUUAGAACCCAGGACAAGGUUACAUCUGGGCGUGAGCGUUCCCGUACAUUCAGUGCACUUCCUGUAUGCUACACCUCAGCUCUAAGUUCCUGUUUGAAUACACUGACCAAAGAUAGAUCUUGGCAAGUCAUUCAAAUAUUGCUAGAUGUGGUACAAGCCAGCCACCAUAAUCCUCAGCAUUUACUCAAAUGAAAUGUAUGGCUGCUCAGAAGUGAACAUGUACGUGUCUAUAGCAGCUUGAUUCGUAACUGUUAAAACUGAGAAGCAACUAAGAUGUUUAUGAGGACAAUGGACAGACUGUGGUACAUCCAAUGAGAAAUGAGCUAUGGCACCACAAAAAGACCCGGUGGAACCUUAAACAUGCACUGCAAAGUGGAAGAAGGCAGGCAGCAAAGAAUGCAUGUGGAGUAAUCCCAGCUCUACAACGGUUUGGAAAAGCUGAAGCUGUGGUGCUAGUGAAAGACAGCAGCCCCAGGAGUUCUAAGGGUGCGGUUAGGGGGAAAUGGGCAAACAGAUGUGUAGGGCAGUGACACUGCACUGUCAAAAGGGGCCUGUAAAGGAACCUGGACUUCAGUUACUAAUAACACACUGGCUCAUCAACUGUAACCAAUGUACAAAGACUUUACUAAUAGAGGAAAUGGGUAGGGAAAGCUUGCAAGAACUGUAUUUCUGCUCAGUUUUUCUAUAAACCUAAAACUGUUACAAAAUAGAGGCAAAGGUGGAUGGACAGAGGAGGGUCUGUCUAGACAGAGGGCGACGAGUAUACUGGGUAUGGAAAAUGACAGCAUUACUCAAAUGUACUGAAAAUGUAUGUCUGAACAGCAAAAGCAACGUGAGAAUGUUCACAGCAAGGCAUGUACAGCCCCAUCUCCCAGCUGUGCCAGCAAGUUUGAUUUGGGGGAAGAUUGGUUCAUCUUUUUUUUUUUUUUUUUUUUUUUUUUUGUCUUUUUUGUUUUUUUAUCGGUACCAGGGAUCGAACUCACGACCACACACUUGCAAGGAAGGCGCUUAUGCCACUGAGCUAAAUCCCCAGCCCCAGAUUGAUUCAUCUUAUGUUCAGCAGAAAUCUAAUAGUUUCUUUUAAAAUUGCCCUUUGAUUAAUUACCUUGAAAUAGCCACUCUGGAGUUUCAAAGACUAUCUCCAGCAUGAGUUUCUCACCAAAUUGUCAUCAUGCUCACUUCAGCAGCACAGAUACUAAAUCACCUGUCACCGCUGCGACACCUGGGCAUGUGUUCUGUGCUCAGUGUUCCACAAGUCUGAGGAAGGCAUCCUCGUGGCUUUACUUAAGAAGAUGCUAGAAUCUGUUUCAGAAUAAUUGGGGAAGCCAGGUGCAAUGGUGCAUUUCUGUAAAGACAGCACUCUGGGAGGCUGAGGCCAAAGGAUCAAAGUUUAAGCUUAGUUUGGGCAAUUAGUGACUCAGUGAGAACCUGUCUCAAAACUUUAAAAGGCUUGGAUUGUACCUCGGUGUGAAGGUCCUAGGUUUAACCCCUGGUACUAAAAAAAGAGAGAAAAGAAAAGGAAGGAAGGAGGGAGUGGGGAGCAGGUGGGGUGAGAACGGACCAGGUGGGCCAUGCACUGAUAAUGACAGAAGCUGGUAACAGGAACAUCAGGUUCACUGCUCUCUGUAGUUUUAUGUACACUUGAAUUAAAAGGUAAGAAACACACAGCCUCCAUUUUGCACUGAGGUGAAUCAAGCCCACGGUUGGUAUUCUGGUGUCUCUGUGGACCACCUGUGGUUAAAAAAUUUAGAUCUAAAAAUCCCCAGUUGAGUAAUUGGUCAUCAUAGCUGGAUGCUGGAGAAACUUUCAGAACACAGGUCUUUUCUUCUGGGCGUACUGAUUCCUCUACAAAAAGAAAAGAAAAAGGCCCUGUUGGAGGUACAAUGCCCAACCUCCCCAUCUAUGUAGUGCAGUACAGUUGAAGCCAGAGAGUUCAGACCCACAUUUAUGCUCCAUCCUUGCUGGGUUUACAGCCCCAGACAGGGUAGAAGCUGCUUUACGCCUCGGGUUAGCCACCUGCAAAGUGGAAGAGUAACAUUUCCCCCAGAAGUCUAGGUCUCCUGGGGGGUAAGACACCCCCAAUGCCAGAGGGAGUCUUCAAGUGACUGUGGCUAAUGUCACUCUACUUAUUUUGUGACUCAUUCAUUCAUAGUAAAGAUUCUUGAGAACAGAACUGGGGUGGGGGAUAAUACGAUGCUGUUUUUGGCAUCCUUUGUUAGAUUGAUGUUUUUCCCCCUCUGUUAAAAAUGAAGCGGAUGUUGCUAUUUAUUUCUUCAGCUCAGACGCCCACUUACACUCCAGUGUUUGCUAACAGUGGUGUGCAACCAUGAAGAUUCUGGAGGAGGGGGAACCCUCAGUGUUGGGGAGAACAGCUAACAGGACAGUUCUCAGAGAAAAACUUAUCACUUCAUAUGCUAGCUGACUCUCAACCCUGGAAACUCGCUAGAAACACAGGGUCUGCAGCUCCACUCAGGAGCUCUGGGCCUCGGUCUGCUUGUUAACAAGCUCGAGUUUAUAUGCAUAUGUCAAUCCAGCUUCCAACCCAUUUGCAAGGUCAGCCAGCGCGAGUAACAAAGUGGGUGAAGACUGCAGGAAGGCAACCCUCAAACAGCAGAGGUCUCUGCGAAACCUCCUGAAGUCAGGGUCUGCCACGCUGCAGAGGAUGAGCCACCUGGCUGAAUUUGAUUCUCCUUCUGGAAGGGUUCAGGUGUGAUUUGGGGGGCUCCAUUGUCCUCUUGAGUGCAGUUUCUUGCCUCCAAUGACGGCAAGUCCUGCCCUACUGCGAAGCACGGAAAGUGGCUUCUGGGGCUGCCAGAUGUUUAAGAUGCUGAUUGCUUAGAGCUCUUAGUUUCCACGCAAAGCUCAGCACAGCAGAGGUUUGUGUGUGGAAGUGAAUAAAAAAAACACACUUCCCUCUGACCACCACAGUUUUCCCCUGUUGUUUCUGUUCUUUAUUUCUUUUUAAAGAGACAUCCCAACUUUGAAGGUAGGUAUGCACAGCAUCAGGAUGGAGGUGGGAGCCACGAGAACAAGUUAGCAGACCCAAUGUUCAGCUGAAUGCAGAUGCUCACCUGCAGCUGCUGUAACAAAGUGUUACAGACUAUGUGAGCUAGCACAAUGGAACUCACUCUCACAGUUCUGGAGGCCAAGUCCAAAAUCAAGGUAUCAACAAGACUGGUUCCUCCUAGAGUGUGAAGAAGAAUUCACCCCUGCCUAUCUCCUAGCUUCUGAACCCUACCAUGCUCCACUCUUCGGCCUGUAUGUCCCCUGAGGACCAUCCACUGUGGCUGCAUGAGCUUGAACAAUGAUUUGCUAUGGGCUAGCAGCUGUUCUGUGUAGGGAAGCAUCUCAAGGUCCAAGGGUCAGCACCAAGCAUCACUGCUGCCCAUGGUACCACAAGAUCAUCAGGGUAACCAUGGGCCGGAGAGCUAACACCCCACGGGAAUGCACACUGCAGUUCUCAACUCCUCUCUGUUCAAAACAGCCAGGGUUUCUUAGAGAAAUGUAAGAGUACAGACUCUCACCUUGGAGUAUCUUGAAAGCAUAAAAUCUGUCACAGACUGUAAGCCAACAGAGGCCAACAGGAAGACGCUCCCACUGGCCAAAACUGGGACAAUCUGCACAGCAGAACUCUUCUGUCAGUUUGUAUGAUAUUUAAAAACUAUCAUUGAUACCUAAUGAAGAUAAAAGGAAGUGAUCCAUUAACUUGAAAGCUUAUAAGCAAAGUAUGAGAAGCCAGCAUGUAGAUGCCUUUUCUCUAUAAAACAUAUCUAAUAAAGACUGAACGAUGAGGGCAGUUUCUCUUUUUAGAUUACCUCAGCUCACAAAUGAAGAUGGAAUGAUACAGCUGGAAUGUCACACUGCUAGGUGUGAUGGUGCAUUUCUGUAUUCCAUGCCACUUAAGAGGCUGAGGCAGAAAGAACACAAGUUCAGCCUGGGCAAGUUAGUGAAACUGUGUUUCAAAAAAAAUGUUUUUAAGGGCUGGGGAUAUAGUUCUGUAGUAGUGCUUACCUAGCACCUAGCAUGCAAAGUCCUGGGUUUAAUCUUCAAUACUAAAACAGUUUUUUUUUUUUAAUUAAAAUAUGAUGUCAUAGUCUCUAAUGAAUUCAAACAUGGGGGUGUGGAGCACCAAUGGCCAGGCACCCAGGUGUUAGGGGCUUCCAGGUGAAUGAACACCCCUCUUUUUUUUUUAAUUUUAUUUAAGGAGGAAAAGAAAAAAAAGAGAAAGGGUACAAGUUAUACAGAAUUUCAGAAAAAAAAUAAACAGUAGGAAAUCACUAGUUAAUGGAUUACAUAUUGUCAUCUUAGAAAUAUUUGUUCAAGUUACAAAAUUAAAGCUUAUAUAGUGGACAUUCAAACAGUGAGACCAAACAGUUCUGUUCAAUGAUCCAACAAAGCUCAGUAAUAUCAUUGUCUAUCUUAUACACUUAAAUAUACAUGCAGUUAUAUCAUUUAAAGCACUUUUCCUCUCUUUUGUACAAUGACUGUUACACAUUUUGGAACACCCCUCUUUUGAAGUCAUUGAGUCAAAACAUCACAUCCAGAUCACAUCAAGCCUCUAGUUCUAGCCACUCAUUACAAUGAAUACGGGAGAUGUAUUAGUUCACUUUCUGUUGCUGUAACAAAAUACCUGAGGCUAGGUAAUUCAUAAAGAACAGGUUUAUUUAGGUUACAGUUUGGGUGCUAGCACGUCUCUAGUGAGGCCCCUUUAGCUGCAUCACAACAUGACAAGUGGCAUCAAGCCAGGAACACGUAUCAGAGGGAAAGGUUACAUGUCAAGACAGGAAGGCAGAGAGAGGGAGGGGCUGGUCUUGCUCUUGUAUACAAACUUACUCUUGUGGGAAGUGACUGGGAUCCAAUGAGAACUACAUUAUUCCUUCCAAGGUAGGUGCCUCGCCACCUUCAUGAGGUCUAUCUCUUAGAGAUUCUACUGCUGCUUAACACUGUAUGCUGAUGACCACGAUUCCAACAGAGGAACCCUUGGGGACAUGCCACAUCCCAACCACAGCAGGGAUAAAGGAACAAAUUAAAGGACACAAAGAGGAUGCACUCAUCAGUUCCAGACCAUGACAAGGUCUACAACAAGGCAAAUCCAUUGCUAAACAGAGAAAUGCGCUACAGAUUCAGCUAGAGUGAGCAAGCAGGGCCGAGGGGGUGGCCACAGAAUAAAAGAAAUCUUACGCAGCGA